rnacentral:rRNA from 1 species
UACGUAGGGGGCAAGCGUUGUCCGGAAUCAUUGGGCGUAAAGAGUUCGUAGGCGGUUUGUUAAGUCUGGUGUUAAAGACGGGAGCUCAACUCCCGCAUGGCAUUGGAUACUGGCAGGCUAGAGUGCGGUAGAGGUCUCGGGAAUUCCAGGUGUAGCGGUGAAAUGCGUAGAUAUCUGGAGGAACACCGGUGGCGAAAGCGCUCUGCUGGACCUUAACUGACACUGAGGGACGAAAGCUAGGGGAGCGAAUGGG